GUCAAUAACCCCGCCUAAGUUCUAAUGAACUAUAGGUGAGGCUUGCGGAAAACGCAGGCCUGAUUGAUUAGCCUGAGUGCUUCGAGCACUGCGUUAUACAGGAAUGUAUAGGCACUUCAGAAUGCUCCACAAGUUCUGAACACUGC
rnacentral:sRNA from 1 species